UUACGGCCAUUUCACGUUGAAACACGGGCUCUCGUACAAUCACUGAAGUUAAGCAACGUCGAUCCUGGUCAGUAACUAGAUGGGUGAUCGCUUGGGAAUACCAAGUGCUGUAAG